rnacentral:lncRNA from 1 species
AUAAUCUUGGUUUGACCAUAUCUUUAUUUGAUUUUUCUAUCCUUCUUCCAGGAUUGUACACUGAAUGCAAGCAGCCAGACCAAGCCCUCUGAUGUGGCCAGGAACAAGGACUGGUCUGUGUAUAUAUUUAUUGGUGAUAUACGGACCUCAGAUCUGAUACUGGACCAGGAUCAAAAAUCUCUCUGGAUGAACUCAGGAUUUCUGACAUUUGCUCCAGGAAGCUACCCCAACACCCAAGCAGGGAAUACAACUCCUAUUUCACUGAUUGUCACAGAAUUAUUUCUAUGUAAGUCAUGCAUGUAUAGCUGGUGCCAAUACUUUUUAUAGAAAGCAAAGCACUUGGGAUUCAAAAGUAAAGUGAUUCCUGUGGCAAAAUUGAAUCAUAUAUUGUGGGUGAGAGUAGGCUUGUCCCACGGAGUACAAGACAGAGCUGGAAUGUGUACCACAUGCACUCUCAGUGUGGCAUAAAGACUUCUUUUUGGGUCUUACUAUUGUGUCUGUUCAAGUUUUAAAUGUCUCCAUGUUAGGGGUGUGGGGUGUGUAUAUUAAUUUGGACAGAGAAGAAUGAAGAAACUAUUCAUGUCACUAAGCUCUUGCUGCUGACAAAGAGCUGCGAUGACUACUU